rnacentral:lncRNA from 1 species
AUGUUCGUCCAGGCUUCUGUCCGCCUGUCCCAAUGCAGGAAAGCUGCAGAGCCCCCUCUUGACAAGGGUGGGCGCCCCGGUCAGCAUGGACCAGCUGCACGGAGCCAAAGGAUGCGCCGCUGGGGCCUGUUAACAGACAGAAUCAGCCCCAGGCCACCCUUCGUUCAGAAGCUGAGCUCUAAGUCACCCAUGCUCCUCUCUGUGGCAUAUUCAUUUGGGAUGUCUGUAUACAAGGCUGGGAAUGAGGUCUGUCUUUUUCUCUCUCUUAGGAAAAUUUCUAAACAAAAACCCGAACAUCAACAACAACAAACCAACAUGAUGUCCAGGGCAGUGCUGGCUCUGAGCAUCUUUCUACCAGACUACGAAUAAAACCCUCAUUGUUGGAUUCCACGUCUUGACGGUCAUUCUGCACAGACAGUCACCCAACCGGGGGUGGGGUGGGGCGAAGGUGCGGGGAGUAAGAAGGAGCUUCAGAAGACAAAGCCAGCUUGAGAGCCCCACUCCUCGCCGCUUUCCCUCAGUACAAAGAAGGCGCUUCGCAAAGAUC